rnacentral:rRNA from 1 species
AUGAUUUGGUGCAAUGUCUUGUCAGUUUUGGUGUUCCCACCAUCCUUCUUCAACAUCAUGACGCACGUCCUAGUUCACCUAUGCGAAGAGAUUAACGUUUUGGGUCCUGUAUUUCUACACAAUAUGUUCCCCUUUGAGAGGUUCAUGGGAGUCUUAAAGAAAUAUGUUCAUAACCGUGCUAGGCCAGAAGGAAGCAUCUCCAAGGGCCAUCAAAAUGAGGAGGUCAUUGAGUUUUGUAUUGACUUUAUUCCUGACCUUAAGCCGAUUGGUGUUCCUGAAUCGCGGCAUAAGGGCAGACUGGAUGGAAAAGGCACGCUAGGAGGGGAACAAAUAAUAUGUAUGGACGGACACUCUCUCACUGAAGCACACUACACAGUUCUACAGAAUUCUGCCUUGGUGGCUCCGUAUAUGGAUCAACACAAGAAUUUGCUAUGCUCCAAACACCCGGAGCGGUCUGAUGACUGGAUUACACGUGAACAAACCAGGAGUUUCGCCAGCUGGUUGCAGACACGUACCAUGCAUGACACCUCUAUUGAAGAUGACCUGUACUUGUUGUCCCAGUUACCAUCUUCGAAUAUAAUGACUUUCAAAGGGUACGAGAUAAAUGGUAAUACAUUUUACACGAUCGCCCAAGAUAAGAAGAGCACCAACCAAAACAGUGGUGUCCACUUUGAUGCAGAAACCAAGACGGGAAAGGAAACAUAUUAUGGUUAUAUACAGGACAUAUGGGAACUUGACUAUCGACGUGGUUUAAAGGUCCCUUUGUUUCGGUGCAAAUGGGUCAAUAUGACACGAGGCGGGGUAACGGAAGACCCGCAGUACGGAAUAACAACAGUGGAUCUCAACAAUCUUGUGUAUGCAGACGAACCAUUCGUCCUAGCCAAUGAUGUGGCACAGGUUUUCUAUGUGAAGGACAUAUCUACCAAGCCAAGAAAAAUAAAAGAUAAGGAAGCGAAUGCAUCGUACGAUGAGCCAAAGCGGCACAUAGUUCUUUCUGGGAAGAGAAACAUCGUGGGAGUGGAUGACAAGACAGACAAGUCAGAAGAUUAUGAAAAGUUUGAUGAAAUUGCUCCAUUCACAGUGAAUAUUGACCCGAGCAUCCCGUUAAAUGAUGAAGAUUUUCCAUGGUUACGGCGCAAAGGGACACUCGCGAAGAAAAAGUUUCACACCCAAAGAUCUGGGAUGUGA